AUUGAACGCUGGCGGCAGGCCUAACACAUGCAAGUCGAACGGUAACAGGAAACAGCUUGCUGUUUCGCUGACGAGUGGCGGACGGGUGAGUAAUGUCUGGGAAACUGCCUGAUGGAGGGGGAUAACUACUGGAAACGGUAGCUAAUACCGCAUAACGCCGCAAGACCAAAGAGGGGGACCUUCGGGCCUCUUGCCAUCGGAUGUGCCCAGAUGGGAUUAGCUAGUAGGUGGGGUAACGGCUCACCUAGGCGACGAUCCCUAGCUGGUCUGAGAGGAUGACCAGCCACACUGGAACUGAGACACGGUCCAGACUCCUACGGGAGGCAGCAGUGGGGAAUAUUGCACAAUGGGCGCAAGCCUGAUGCAGCCAUGCCGCGUGUAUGAAGAAGGCCUUCGGGUUGUAAAGUACUUUCAGCGGGGAGGAAGGGAGUAAAGUUAAUACCUUUGCUCAUUGACGUUACCCGCAGAAGAAGCACCGGCUAACUCCGUG
rnacentral:rRNA from 1 species